GUAACUUCGGGAGAAGGCACGCUGAUGGUAGGUGAAGCGACUUGCUCGUGGAGCUGAAAUCAGUCGAAGAUACCAGCUGGCUGCAACUGUUUAUUAAAAACACAGCACUGUGCAAACACGAAAGUGGACGUAUACGGUGUGACGCCUGCCCGGUGCCGGAAGGUUAAUUGAUGGGGUCAGCGCAAGCGAAGCUCUUGAUCGAAGCCCCGGUAAACGGCGGCCGUAACUAUAACGGUCCUAAGGUAGCGAAAUUCCUUGUCGGGUAAGUUCCGACCUGCACGAAUGGCGUAAUGAUGGCCAGGCUGUCUCCACCCGAGACUCAGUGAAAUUGAACUCGCUGUGAAGAUGCAGUGUACCCGCGGCAAGACGGAAAGACCCCGUGAACCUUUACUAUAGCUUGACACUGAACACUGGUCCUUGAUGUGUAGGAUAGGUGGGAGGCUUUGAAGUGUGGACGCCAGUCUGCAUGGAGCCGUCCUUGAAAUACCACCCUUUAAUGGCUGGUGUUCUAACGUUGGCCCGUAAUCCGGGUUGCGGACAGUGUCUGGUGGGUAGUUUGACUGGGGCGGUCUCCUCCUAAAGAGUAACGGAGGAGCACGAAGGUUGGCUAAUCCUGGUCGGACAUCAGGAGGUUAGUGCAAUGGCAUAAGCCAGCUUGACUGCGAGCGUGACGGCGCGAGCAGGUGCGAAAGCAGGUCAUAGUGAUCCGGUGGUUCUGAAUGGAAGGGCCAUCGCUCAACGGAUAAAAGGUACUCCGGGGAUAACAGGCUGAUACCGCCCAAGAGUUCAUAUCGACGGCGGUGUUUGGCACCUCGAUGUCGGCUCAUCACAUCCUGGGGCUGAAGUAGGUCCCAAGGGUAUGGCUGUUCGCCAUUUAAAGUGGUACGCGAGCUGGGUUUAGAACGUCGUGAGACAGUUCGGUCCCUAUCUGCCGUGGGCGCUGGAGAACUGAGGGGGGCUGCUCCUAGUACGAGAGGACCGGAGUGGACGCAUCACUGGUGUUCGGGUUGUCAUGCCAAUGGCACUGCCCGGUAGCUAAAUGCGGAAGAGAUAAGUGCUGAAAGCAUCUAAGCACGAAACUUGCCCC
rnacentral:rRNA from 1 species